GACGAACGCUGGCGGCGUGCUUAACACAUGCAAGUCGAACGGAAAGGCCCUGCUUUUGUGGGGUGCUCGAGUGGCGAACGGGUGAGUAACACGUGAGUAACCUGCCCUUGACUUUGGGAUAACUUCAGGAAACUGGGGCUAAUACCGGAUAGGAGCUCCUGCUGCAUGGUGGGGGUUGGAAAGUUUCGGCGGUUGGGGAUGGACUCGCGGCUUAUCAGCUUGUUGGUGGGGUAGUGGCUUACCAAGGCUUUGACGGGUAGCCGGCCUGAGAGGGUGACCGGCCACAUUGGGCCUGAGUUGCGGCCGGGCCUCCUCCGGGGGGCACAGGGGGGGAAUAUUGAACAAUGGGGGGAGGCCUGAUCCAGCACGGCCGGGGGCGGGAUGAGGCCCUUGGGUUUGUAAACCGCUUCCGCCUGUGACGAAGCGUGGGGGAGGGAAGGGGGAAAAAAGCCCCGGGCUAACUACGUG
rnacentral:rRNA from 1 species